CGGCAGACGGGAAGAGGAGUGUUUAUUCACAAGAUGCCAGCAGUGUCGUGUAGCCUAAGGAUACACUGCAGGAGUGAGUGGAGCCACCCCUUGUUUAACCAGCAUAUUAGAGAUAAGGUCGUUGCCAAAGCUGGAUCUGAUGAGUGGUGAAAAAGUUCAAGAAGGGAAUAUAGUUGAGUUAUCGGCUAUUACUUCAGUGCGGCAUUGGAGAAAACGCACAAAACAAACCUGAGGCCCCACACUGUUGUUUACUCAGCUUGGAACAUCCGCGGCGGCAUAUUUUACAAUAAUGGAGCCUUCAGAAUGCAUUAGCUUUACACGUUAGUUCUCAAAAUAUGCCAGUCAAAUAAGAAUAAGACAAGUUAUGGGACCAAGACACCAUGAGAAGCGCCCACUGCCUAAAUAUGAAUAAUUCCAAGAGAUUCAGAUUUGCAAUAUAGAAGAUAGAGCAAUAAUAAUAAUAAUAAUAGUAAUAAUAAUAAUAAUAAUAAUAAUAAUAAUAAUAAUAAUAUAAACGAUACAAAAGAUUAAGUAAAACGAAGUAGGAAAGUAACGCCACAAGAGAACACAAAGAAGAACGAUAACCAGCACCAUUUUAUGUAAUGACUUGCUACCUUACUGUGAGAGGAGCAAAUUAGCGAAGAUGAAAGUUCCUCCCCAUCAAAAGCUUUCUUUAGUGAGGACUGGCGGGGGAAAGAGAAAUAUCAAGCAGUGAGGAAGAUAAGUUACAGAAUAGUAGUGGUAGUGGUAGUAGUAGUAGUAG